rnacentral:rRNA from 1 species
ACACAUGCAAGUCGAACGAGAUCUUCGGAUCUAGUGGCGCACGGGUGAGUAACGCGUGGGAACCUACCUUUUAGUACGGGACAACGUUUGGAAACAAACGCUAAUACCGUAUACGCCCUCCGGGGGAAAGGUCAGCCGCUAAAAGAGGGGCCCGCGUCUGAUUAGCUUGUUGGUAAGGUAAUGGCUUACCAAGGCUUCGAUCAGUAGCUGGUCUGAGAGGAUGAUCAGCCACACUGGGACUGAGACACGGCCCAGACUCCUACGGGAGGCAGCAGUGGGGAAUAUUGGACAAUGGAGGCAACUCUGAUCCAGCAAUGCCGCGUGUGUGAUGAAGGCCCUAGGGUUGUAAAGCACUUUCAACGGUGAAGAUGAUGACGGUAGCCGUAGAAGAAGCCCCGGCUAACUUCGUGCCAGCAGCCGCGGUAAUACGAAGGGGGCGAGCGUUAUUCGGAAUUAUUGGGCGUAAAGGGCUCGCAGGCUGCUUGAACAGUUAGACGUGAAAUCCCCGGGCUCAACCUGGGAACUGCGUUUAAUACUAGCAAGCUAGAGUAAUAGAGAGGAAAGUGGAACUCCCAGUGUAGAGGUGAAAUUCGUAGAUAUUGGGAAGAACACCAGUGGCGAAAGCGGCUUUCUGGCUAUUUACUGACGCU